AAAAAAGUGAUCAGCACGUUAUGGUACUUUUUUGAAUAUGUGAAUUUUUUUAUGGAAAUUCCAUAUUGCAAAUUUUUUAUCUACAGGAGGUAGUACACAUGCAACAAGGUACAGUUAAAUGGUUCAACUCAGAAAAAGGUUUCGGUUUUAUCGAAGUUGAAGGCGGAGAUGACGUAUUCGUUCACUUCUCAGCGAUCCAAGGCGAAGGCUUUAAAACGCUUGACGAAGGACAAAAAGUUGAGUUUGAAGUAGAGGAAGGCAACCGCGGACCUCAAGCUACAAAUGUUACUAAACUAUAAUCUCCAAGAACCGCUCAUCUGAUGGGCGGUUCUUUUU
rnacentral:misc_RNA from 1 species